rnacentral:rRNA from 1 species
CACCGGCAGCCCGAGUGGUGGCCACUAUUAUUGGGUCUAAAGCGUCCGUAGCCGGCCUAGUAAGUCUCUCGGGAAAUCCGGCGGCUUAACCGUCAGGCGUCCAGAGGAUACUGCCAGGCUUGGGACCGGGAGAGGUGAGAGGUACCUCAGGGGUAGGGGUGAAAUCUUGUGAUCCCUGAGGGACCACCAGUGGCGAAGGCGUCUCACUAGAACGGGUCCGACGGUCAGGGACGAAAGCUGGGGGCACGAACCGG